GCUGGCGGCAGGCCUAACACAUGCAAGUCGAGCGGUAGAGAGAAGCUUGCUUCUCUUGAGAGCGGCGGACGGGUGAGUAAAGCCUAGGAAUCUGCCUGGUAGUGGGGGAUAACGUUCGGAAACGGACGCUAAUACCGCAUACGUCCUACGGGAGAAAGCAGGGGACCUUCGGGCCUUGCGCUAUCAGAUGAGCCUAGGUCGGAUUAGCUAGUUGGUGAGGUAAUGGCUCACCAAGGCGACGAUCCGUAACUGGUCUGAGAGGAUGAUCAGUCACACUGGAACUGAGACACGGUCCAGACUCCUACGGGAGGCAGCAGUGGGGAAUAUUGGACAAUGGGCGAAAGCCUGAUCCAGCCAUGCCGCGUGUGUGAAGAAGGUCUUCGGAUUGUAAAGCACUUUAAGUUGGGAGGAAGGGCAUUAACCUAAUACGUUAGUGUUUUGACGUUACCGACAGAAUAAGCACCGGCUAACUCUGUGCCAGCAGCCGCGGUAAUACAGAGGGUGCAAGCGUUAAUCGGAAUUACUGGGCGUAAAGCGCGCGUAGGUGGUUUGUUAAGUUGGAUGUGAAAUCCCCGGGCUCAACCUGGGAACUGCAUUCAAAACUGACUGACUAGAGUGUGGUAGAGGGUGGUGGAAUUUCCUGUGUAGCGGUGAAAUGCGUAGAUAUAGGAAGGAACACCAGUGGCGAAGGCGACCACCUGGACCAACACUGACACUGAGGUGCGAAAGCGUGGGGAGCAAACAGGAUUAGAUACCCUGGUAGUCCACGCCGUAACGAUGUCAACUAGCCGUUGGA
rnacentral:rRNA from 1 species